rnacentral:rRNA from 1 species
ACGGGUGAGUAACGCGUGGGUAACCUACCCUGUACACACGGAUAACAUACCGAAAGGUAUGCUAAUACGGGAUAAUAUAUUUGAGAGGCAUCUCUUAAAUAUCAAAGGUGAGCCAGUACAGGAUGGACCCGCGUCUGAUUAGCUAGUUGGUAAGGUAACGGCUUACCAAGGCAACGAUCAGUAGCCGACCUGAGAGGGUGAUCGGCCACGUUGGAACUGAGACACGGUCCAAACUCCUACGGGAGGCAGCAGUGGGGAAUAUUGCACAAUGGGCGAAAGCCUGAUGCAGCAACGCCGCGUGAGUGAUGAAGGCCUUCGGGUCGUAAAACUCUGUCCUCAAGGAAGAUAAUGACGGUACUUGAGGAGGAAGCCCCGGCUAACUACGUGCCAGCAGCCGCGGUAAUACGUAGGGGGCUAGCGUUAUCCGGAUUUACUGGGCGUAAAGGGUGCGUAGGCGGUCUUUCAAGUCAGGAGUGAAAGGCUACGGCUCAACCGUAGUAAGCUCUUGAAACUGGGAGACUUGAGUGCAGGAGAGGAGAGUGGAAUUCCUAGUGUAGCGGUGAAAUGCGUAGAUAUUAGGAGGAACACCAGUUGCGAAGGCGGCUCUCUGGACUGUAACUGACGCUGAGGCACGAAAGCGUGGGGAGCAAACAGGAUUAGAUACCCUGGUAGUCCACGCUGUAAACGAUGAGUACUAGGUGUCGGGGGUUACCCCCUUCGGUGCCGCAGCUAACG